CUUAAAGCACUAAAGGAGGAAUGUCAGUGCAUCUCCAUAAAUCUGAGACGGACGAGUGUAAGCCUUUAAUUUCACUCUUAUUUCAGCAAACAGAUUUAGUUCAUGAAAAGAGCUGAACAGAGCUCACAGUGUUUCUUCUCUCCUCACAUCUGAUCUAAAUCUCCAUGUCAUCACAGAUUGAGUUGUUGCCUCCUGCACCUUUUUCCUUGACCCGUGUUGGUUUAUUGAGAAACCAGCCUAGUGUUUCAGAUUUGGUUUCUGCAUGAUUGAUUAGCCUGAUUCCUGAAGUGAUGAUUCUGGCCUCAGGGGCGGCGCCCUUCAAAGGACACAGGCUACAAAGGACGUGUCCUUCAUAGCCUUUGUAGACCCCUAAGGCUUGAGGAAAUGAGACGGUCUGGUCCACGAAGAAUUUGUGUCUGAAGUUGUUCCUGCCCUUACCCUAGCAUCACAGAGCUAACUGGCUAACUAGCAAACAUUAUAGACGUCACAUCACUAAACCUAUUAUGUUGGAAAUGUAAAGGCCCCCUCUCAAUUUAUUUAACAUUUGCAUCACGAGUGAGUCCAUUGAGUUGAACCUAACACAUUCAUCACUAGGCCACUUGUGGGUCCUCUGUCUUGUUUGAAAUUCGGAGCGGUGAAUCUUGGGAUCCAGUGACUUCCUGCUCCCCUGUUUCCCGCUCUCCUGAUUACCCCAAUGUGUUGCACCUGUGUCUUGUUAAUCCCACUCCUAGUGUGUAGCCCACUUAAACUCACUCUCCCCUUCCUUCUGUGCCAGUUCGUCUUGUACCUUGUGUCAGAGGUCCAGCAUUUUUCUGUGUUUAUUCAUGUGUUUUUGACCAGUUUAUGUCCCUUUUUGAACAUGAUUUUUGCCUCUUGUCUUGGAUACCUCUGGCUUUUUGAACUUGUUUCUGAUUAAACAGACUUUGAAUUCUC